UCUCGAAUCUUCGAUCCUGC
rnacentral:snRNA from 1 species